GAUUCGCAAGAGUAAACAGAUUUCAAAAAACGGAAAAAAUUUGUAAAAAAAUUCCUUCAUUUUUUAACUGUUGUGUAAUUAGACUACUGCGUCCAUUAGUUAGAACUUUUGUUACUUUCCCUCAUUAUGUGUGUGGAAAGAUAUUGUCAUUAGCAUUUUCCUAUUGAAGGUUUAUGUUUAAAGUAUUUUUGAAUUCCCUUUUUUUAUUUAAUCUAUAUUAUACAAAUAUGUAUUGUAAUCGGAUUCUAGUCGUCUUCUCAAAUCAUAAAGCUCUCAGUCACCAAGUGCAUCUGUUUCCGAGAUAUUACAAACCAAAGUUGAAAAAAUGGAAUUAUUCACGAAAAUACACAUUUGAAGCCUCUGGGGAGGAAGAGGGGUGGAACCUUAAAGCCAUGUUUGUGUCGCCAAUACAAACUUGGUGUCUAUUUCCAUCAUAGAACAUAUUUAGAUUAUGUGUUCCACUACAAAGGAGAGCGGUCCAAUUAGAACCGUACAUGUUCAUAAAUACGCCACUAAAUUUCAGGAAGUUUCCGUUACUCAAUCGAUCUCAAGCUACCACAAUCGAACGCCGUCGUUCUGCACUCAUUUUACUAGUUUGAACAAUAGUUGAUUAGAGCAUCAUUCGCAUAAGAGAUUAAACGAUUGCAAAUAUACAAAACACCUCAUUCAUACUUCCGAGCACCAGAAAGGUAGCCAAUUUGCAGCCACCAUUGAUUGGUGGAACUGCGCAAAUUGGCGUAGUUCGCGAUGCUUAUCAGCGCAGAGACGGUAUCAAGGUGCUCAAUUGUACCAUUCGCAGUCAAUGUACUUCGCAUUUGCUGCACUAUGCAGGACCCACGAGAGCACUGAACCAACGUUCAGCCUGCUCUGAUGCGUGGUGCUGCCAAUUGCACACGGCACUAGUCGCAACUGUUGGUGGUGGUGUGGAAUAGCGACCGAGCCUCAAGCUUUCUGCACUCUCUUCGCGUUCAAUCAAACUGCACUCGAAAUUACCUAUAAAAGUGUUUCUGCGCGGUACGGACAGCAUCAUUCGGAAGUUGAAGUGUUUGAGUUUGUGUGAGCAAAUCACUAUAGCAAACCAGCUGUAGAACCGAUUAGUAUCCCGAAAUCAGUGAAGGUAUCGUCAGAGCAAAAAUGCCGUGCAAAUGCUGUGGUAAAGAUUGCAAGUGCACAACCUGCUGUGGAACUCCGGACAAACCGUGUAUGACAGGAUGCCAGUGUCAGUGCGCCUGUAAGACGGAUAAGAGAUGCGAUCAGCCGGCGGGUUGCUGCAAGAAGUGAUUUGUUUUAAGAAUAGCGGAUAAGUUAUAGCGUAGGUCAUAGGCGAAGGUCAUGUUGAUGGUGAAUAAAUUAUCAGUUCAAUGAUAAAAA